CCCCUUUUAAAAGCACUCGGUGGGCCUUUACUAAUGACCUGCUGAGCCGUCAAGGAAGGGGAGAGUAAAAACACUGCUUUUGGGUGAAGCAGCAGCAUGUUGUGUUGUUUUGCUUCAAUCGGUGGUGUGACAACG
rfam:Ailuropoda melanoleuca scaffold2250_43, whole genome shotgun sequence.